rnacentral:rRNA from 1 species
ACUGAAUAGAUACCCCGGUAGUCCACGCCCUAAACGAUGUCUACUAGUUGUCGGGGAUUCAUUUCCUUGGUAAACGCAGCUAAACGCGUGAAGUAGACCGCCUGGGGAGUACGGCCGCAAGGUUAAAACUCAAAGGAAUUGACGGGGACCCGCACAAGCGGUGGAUGAUGUGGAUUAAUUCGAUGCAACGCGAAAAACCUUACCUACGCUUGACAUGCCAGGAACUUUCCAGAGAUGGAUUGGUGCCCGAAAGGGAACCUGGACACAGGUGCUGCAUGGCUGUCGUCAGCUCGUGUCGUGAGAUGUUGGGUUAAGUCCCGCAACGAGCGCAACCCUUAUCCUUAGUUGCUACGCAAGGGCACUCUAGGGAGACUGCCGGUGACAAACCGGAGGAAGGUGGGGAUGACGUCAAGUCCUCAUGGCCCUUAUGUGUAGGGCUUCACACGUCAUACAAUGGUCGGUACAGAGGGUCGCCAACCCGCGAGGGGGUAGCCAAUCCCAGAAAACCGAUCGUAGUCCGGAUUGCAGUCUGCAACUCGACUGC